rnacentral:rRNA from 1 species
UACGUAGGGGGCAAGCGUUGUCCGGAUUUAUUGGGCGUAAAGAGCGUGUAGGCGGCCAGGCAGGUCCGCUGUGAAAACUCGAGGCUUAACCUCGAGAUGUCGGUGGAAACCGCCUGGCUAGAGUCCGGAAGAGGAGAGUGGAAUUCCCGGUGUAGCGGUGAAAUGCGCAGAUAUCGGGAAGAACACCCGUGGCGAAGGCGGCUCUCUGGGACGGUACUGACGCUGAGACGCGAAAGCGUGGGGAGCGAACAGG